GGUAACGUAACGUACGGUAGUACUAACCUACUNUAAGACUGGGAUAACUUCGGGAAACCGGAGCUAAUACCGGAUAAUAUAUUGAACCGCAUGGUUCAAUAGUGAAAGACGGUUUUGCUGUCACUUAUAGAUGGAUCCGCGCCGCAUUAGCUAGUUGGUAAGGUAACGGCUUACCAAGGCAACGAUGCGUAGCCGACCUGAGAGGGUGAUCGGCCACACUGGAACUGAGACACGGUCCAGACUCCUACGGGAGGCAGCAGGC
rnacentral:rRNA from 1 species